rnacentral:rRNA from 1 species
GACGAACGCUGGCGGCGUGCCUAAUACAUGCCAGUAGAACGCUGAAGGAGGAGCUUGCUUCUCUGGAUGAGUUGCGAACGGGUGAGUAACGCGUAGGUAACCUGCCUGGUAGCGGGGGAUAACUAUUGGAAACGAUAGCUAAUACCGCAUAAUAGUAGAUGUUGCAUGACAUUUGCUUAAAAGGUGCAAUUGCAUCACUACCAGAUGGACCUGCGUUGUAUUAGCUAGUUGGUGAGGUAACGGCUCACCAAGGCAACGAUACAUAGCCGACCUGAGAGGGUGAUCGGCCACACUGGGACUGAGACACGGCCCAGACUCCUACGGGAGGCAGCAGUAGGGAAUCUUCGGCAAUGGACGGAAGGCUGACCGAGCAACGCCGCGUGAGUGAAGAAGGUUUUCGGAUCGUAAAGCUCUGUUGUAAGAGAAGAACGAGUGUGAGAGUGGAAAGUUCACACUGUGACGGUAUCUUACCAGAAAGGGACGGCUAACUACGUG